UAAGACUGUCAUUGUAAUUCUUCUUGAUAGUUCCAUGAUGUAAAACCAAAGUUAUCCAAGUAGAUCCUUGUGACAAACAUUUAUAUUCAAGUCAUUAUUUUUUAAAGGAAACAAAUUUGGAUAACAAAAGAAGGGGGCAUUACAAAACAGCAUGGUUAAAGUCAUGUUUUGAGUGCACCGCAUGAUAUACAAUAUCUUCAUUCAGUCACUUGCGAUUUCUUUCAAGGACUUUGCUGACAGUGGUUCGAAUGGAAACCUUACCGGCUGGCUCUAACUCAGGCAUCAGUUGUUCAAUGAUUCGAAUCCAGCGUUCACUCACUCAGCCAAGUUGUGGUGUUUCGUCACGAAAUCACGUAAAUGUCAAGACUCAGAAAAACUCGUACCUUGUGAACGACACUGCGCGGGAGAAUGCCGUUAGGAUCGGUGACCCAGCCCUCUAGUGACGUCAUUGUCAGAGCAUCCCUAUGAUCCAUAAGUGAGCUCAGAGUUUUGGCCACCACAACCCUCUGACUAAACAUAACCAAACCAGGCCUCUCAAACCUACACCGUCGACUCCUGCUUCUAAAUGAGAGUCUCUUCUUUACCCAAGGGACUAACGAUUUUCGUUUAGUUCCGUGCAUUUUCUCAGCGAUUGUCAAAUUAUUGGAACAUCCAGACUAUGGUCGAUGACACAAGACAAAUGAUUCAUGGUCUACAAAGAUCGUAUGUAUAGCUCCAACAGAAAGUGAAACCAACGACACACUUGCCACCGCUGUCUUCGAACAAAGGCGUUUGAAUGUCGAAAUUGAUGACGUCACUGACGUCAUAUACCCUUCUCGUCUCGAAACUGCGAUGACACGCAAAGUGGGACGUCACAAGUAAAUAGGCUGCCAUGCAGAAAUGUCAUGACGUUGACAUUUAUAACAUUUUUGGACCGUGUAAAUUAAACAUUUCCAGUGGUAUGAGUGCGUCAUGGUGAAAGUCAAAACUGGCCGAAGUGGAUGUGCCUGAUCAAAGUUUCUAAAUGAAAGCAGAACUAAACUGUUGAGGAAGUAGAAAAAAAAGAGUGGUCAAUAUUGCCAGCGUUACCAGCAGUGGUACACAUUUGAGCCGGGCCUUCGCUUACAGCACAAAUGAAGGUUCUCCAACUUUUCACUGAUUUCAUUCACUUCGGUAUCAGCCGAAUUUCGGUAUAAAGCUGGAGUUUGAGACUGGCACGUAUUCAGCCUCUCAUUGUUGUUAAGCUCUCGGUGAAUCCACUCUGCCUUAGUGCCCGCAAACGCAGACUUCUUGUCCUGAUUCGAUUUUCUGACAAAGUGCAAGUUUUCCAGCAUAUUAAUAAUGUGGACAAUAUCCGCAUCGACAGGAGAGAUUUUGUAACGAGGAAUUUCCACCUCCUCAGCCAUCAACAACACAUCGCCAUCGUGGUGUCGCCUCGUCAAGCGCUCGCUUCUCCGCCGGACCAUGUCCUCUUUCUGUGUUCCGCCACUUCUCCCCACCUUUAUCUCUCCGUCAUCGACGGUGGCAUCGCCAGCAGCGUCUUGCCUUUGUUGGCCGGAAGUGCUUGUUGUACCACGGGGUGAGCAAGGAUCUACUUGAACUUCACGGGGAACACCCUAGAGACAAAGAAAACGAUGUGAUGUGUAUGUUCUUCUUCUAAGGACAAAGAAAACAAUGAGAUGUAAAUAUUACCUCAAAGACACAGAAAACGAUGUGAUGUAAAUAUUCUAUCAAGGACACUGAAAACGAUGUGAUGUAAAUAUUCUGUCAAGGACUCACAAAACGGUGUGAUGUAAAUAUUCUAUCACGGGCACAGAAAACGAUGUGAUGUAAAUAUUAAUAUAGGUAAUGUGAAAAUAAUAAAUAACUGACAUAAGCAUCCAGAUACACUAUCCUCACUCAUACCACGGCGGCCAGUAUUGAUUGUGGUCAUGCAGGCCAGAGCAUGAGGGAAACUCACGACCAUCCGCCGUUUGGCGAUACACCUUCCCACGUACAGUCGGAGAGAAAGCCAGCAUGAGCAGCAUUUUCUUAAGCUCACAGCGACAGCAUUAAUGAGUGGCACUUGAGUCAUUGUGGCGCGAUGGCACGCUAACCACC